GAGGCCUAUAGACUGAUUCGGGCUCGGCCCGAUCCUCCCACCCUUUGUGUACCUACCUCUGUUGCUUUGGCGGGCCGCGGUCCUCCGCGGCCGCCCCCCUCCCCGGGGGGGUGGCCAGCGCCCGCCAGAGGACCAUCAAACUCCAGUCAGUAAACGAUGCAGUCUGAAAAACAUUUAAUAAACUAAAACUUUCAACAACGGAUCUCUUGGUUCUGGCAUCGAUGAAGAACGCAGCGAAAUGCGAUAAGUAAUGUGAAUUGCAGAAUUCAGUGAAUCAUCGAAUCUUUGAACGCACAUUGCGCCCUUUGGUAUUCCGAAGGGCAUGCCUGUUCGAGCGUCAUUACAACCCUCAAGCUCUGCUUGGUAUUGGGCACCGUCCUUUGCGGGCGCGCCUCAAAGACCUCGGCGGUGGCGUCUUGCCUCAAGCGUAGUAGAACAUACAUCUCGCUUCGGAGCGCAGGGCGUCGCCCGCCGGACGAACCUUCUGAACUUUUCUCAAGGUUGACCUCGGAUCAGGUAGGGAUACCCGCUGAACUUAAGCAUAUCAAUAAGGCGGAGGAA
rnacentral:rRNA from 1 species